AACGAACGCUGGCGGCAUGCCUAACACAUGCAAGUCGAACGAGACCUUCGGGUCUAGUGGCGCACGGGUGCGUAACGCGUGGGAACCUGCCCUUAGGUUCGGAAUAACUCCCCGAAAGGGGUGCUAAUACCGGAUAAUGUCUUCGGACCAAAGAUUUAUCGCCUUUGGAUGGGCCGGCGUUGGAUUAGCUAGUUGGUAGGGAAAAAGCCUACCAAGGCGCCGAUCCAUAGCUGGUCUGAGAGCAUGAUCAGCCACACUGGGACUGAGACACGGCCCAGACUCCUACGGGAGGCAGCAGUGGGGAAUAUUGGACAAUGGGCGAAAGCCUGAUCCAGCAAUGCCGCGUGAGUGAUGAAGGCCUUAGGGUUGUAAAGCUCUUUUACCCGGGAUGAUAAUGACAGUACCGGGAGAAUAAGCUCCGGCUAACUCCGUG
rnacentral:rRNA from 1 species